CCUCUCGCGUCAGGAUAUGCCCAGGUGGGAUUAGCUAGUUGGUGAGGUAAUGGCUCACCAAGGCGACGAUCCCUAGCUGGUCUGAGAGGAUGAUCAGCCACACUGGAACUGAGACACGGUCCAGACUCCUACGGGAGGCAGCAGUGGGGAAUAUUGCACAAUGGGCGCAAGCCUGAUGCAGCCAUGCCGCGUGUAUGAAGAAGGCCUUCGGGUUGUAAAGUACUUUCAGCAGUGAGGAAGGUGGAGUCGUUAAUAGCGGCCUCAUUUGACGUUAGCUGCAGAAGAAGCACCGGCUAACUCCGUG
rnacentral:rRNA from 1 species